GACGAACGCUGGCGGCGUGCCUAACACAUGCAAGUCGAGCGGGGAUUUAAGUGGAAGUUCUUCGGAAUGGAGAUUUAAAUUCUAGCGGCGGACGGGUGAGUAACGCGUGAACAAUCUGUCCCGGACAGGGGGAUAACACUUGGAAACAGGUGCUAAUACCGCAUAAGACCACGGCCUCGCAUGGGGCUGAGGUAAAAGGAGCAAUCCGGUUCGGGGUGAGUUCGCGUCCGAUUAGCUAGUUGGUGAGGUAACGGCCCACCAAGGCGACGAUCGGUAGCCGGCCUGAGAGGGUGAACGGCCACAUUGGAACUGGGAGACGGUCCAAACUCCUACGGGAGGCAGCAGUGGGGAAUAUUGGGCAAUGGGCGAAAGCCUGACCCAGCAACGCCGCGUGAGGGAAGAAGGUUUUCGGAUUGUAAACCUCUGUCCUAUGGGACGAAGGAAGUGACGGUACCAUAGGAGGAAGCCCCGGCUAACUACGUG
rnacentral:rRNA from 1 species